rnacentral:rRNA from 1 species
CCUACGGGUGGCAGCAGUGGGGAAUAUUGCACAAUGGGCGCAAGCCUGAUGCAGCCAUGCCGCGUGUGUGAAGAAGGCCUUCGGGUUGUAAAGCACUUUCAGCGGGGAGGAAGGCGUUAAGGUUAAUAACCUUGGCGAUUGACGUUACCCGCAGAAGAAGCACCGGCUAACUCCGUGCCAGCAGCCGCGGUAAUACGGAGGGUGCAAGCGUUAAUCGGAAUUACUGGGCGUAAAGCGCACGCAGGCGGUCUGUCAAGUCGGAUGUGAAAUCCCCGGGCUCAACCUGGGAACUGCAUUCGAAACUGGCAGGCUAGAGUCUUGUAGAGGGGGGUAGAAUUCCAGGUGUAGCGGUGAAAUGCGUAGAGAUCUGGAGGAAUACCGGUGGCGAAGGCGGCCCCCUGGACAAAGACUGACGCUCAGGUGCGAAAGCAUGGGGAGCAAACAGGAUUAGAUACCCUUGUAGUC